GUCUCUGGCCAUGCCACCCUGAACACGCCCGAUCUCGUUGGAUCUCAGAAGCUAAGCAGGGUUGGGCCUGGUUAGUACUUGGAUGGGAUAAAUUGGAACUGGAGGAG
rnacentral:rRNA from 1 species